rnacentral:rRNA from 1 species
GAGAGUGCAGGCGGUUUUCUAAGUCUGAUGUGAAAGCCUUCGGCUUAACCGGAGAAGUGCAUCGGAAACUGGAUAACUUGAGUGCAGAAGAGGGUAGUGGAACUCCAUGUGUAGCGGUGGAAUGCGUAGAUAUAUGGAAGAACACCAGUGGCGAAGGCGGCUACCUGGUCUGCAACUGACGCUGAGACCUCGAAAGCAUGGGUAGCGAACAGGAUUAGAUACCCUGGUAG